rnacentral:rRNA from 1 species
CUGGCGGUAGGCUUAACACAUGCAAGUCGUGCGAGAAAAUAUCUUCGGAUAUGAGUAGAGCGGCGAACGGGUGAGUAACGCGUAGGAAUGUACCUAGUAGAAGGGGAUAGCCCGGGGAAACUCGGAUUAAUACCGUAUACCUCCUUUGGGAGAAAGAAGGCCUCUCUUUGAAGCUUUCGCUAUUAGAUCAGCCUGCGUAAGAUUAGCUUGUUGGUGAGGUAAUGGCUCACCAAGGCUACGAUCUUUAGCUGGUCUGAGAGGACGAUCAGCCACAUUGGGACUGAGACACGGCCCAGACUCCUACGGGAGGC